UAAUAAAUUUUCAUUAUGAAAUGACAAACCAAACAGAUCAACUUCGAAAAAAGUUUUGCGUCAUGGAAAACUACAAGUCUAAAAAAACACACUCAUUUUAGGGAAUAUUUUGAACCAACUAUAUAAGACGAAAUGUUUAAUAGAAAUACAGAAUAAAAUAUAAAAAAUUAAGGGUUUUAUCGAUUACUCACUGAUUCAUCGAAUUUCGAGGAAUUGCUUGUGUCAUCACACUUCCAUAGAUGAGAGUUGAGUUUGCCAUUUGUGAAAUUAAUAAUUAUUGAGUUUUAUCUACACAAGUUCUUUCGUUCCGAGAUAUGCACAUAUCUAAUGUAUAUGCCAUCUAGCGUUCCUGCCUUCUUCUGUUCGCUUGAGGUUAAUGCGCUGUGCAAAGCGAUAUUUCAAAAGGUGGGCCCAACCAAAACUAAAGCAACAAUAUACACAAAAAGAAGUAUACAAAAAGAAAAUCAUACAAUAUAUUAAGAAACAAG